GAAAUAUAUAGGAGGAAAACCCAAGGGGGGACCAAGGAGACUGCAGACUGGACACAGAAAAAAAAAAAAAAAAAAAAAAAAAAAAAAAAAAAAAAAAAAAAAAAAAAAAAAAAAAAAAAAAAAAAAAAAAAAAAAAAAAAAAAAAAAAAAAAAAAAAAAAAAAAAAAAAAAAAAGUAUUCAUGCAUGUGUUUAUGUAUUGAAAUGUAGAUACUUUUAUGAGGAAUGUGUCCGUGUACUUACAUUUUUCAAAAGAUAAUCUUCAAUGGUAAGACUUGUUUUAUUCGCGCCUCUUCUGGUGUAGCAUAUAACGUGAGUUUUAUUUAGGCAUAUCAGAUGCAUAGCGUGUGUAAUGUGUAGGCCAUUUCAUUCCGUUCUUGCAAUGUGAAUAAUUCAUUUCAAUAUGCUUAUAUCCCUUUUGUGCGCGCUUGUGCGUUUAACGGGGCUUGUUUGUGUGAGCCAGUGCAUUUAUCAUUCAUCUGUUGAUGCUCGAGUUUAAUAAAGGCAGGCUAUUCUUAAGAAACGUAUGUAAA
rnacentral:lncRNA from 1 species